ACAACCUCUGGAAGAAUGUUAGCAGUGAAGCUAAGGAUCUUAUAACAAAACUGCUUACUGUUGGUCACAGAAAAUGCAUCACGGUUUCAGAAGCUCUGGAACAUCCUUGGAUGAAGGAUAAAGAAAUGAUAGAAAAAGCAGAAAAAAUGAUAAAACCGACCGUGGAUGGAAGAUCAAUGUCUCCGCCCUUAUAAAAGCUUUAGAACCCCAUCGAACAGGAAAGUCGGAAUUUAAAAG